ACCCGUCCACCAUUACCAUCUCCUCUCCUCCCCUCUGUCUGUCUGCCAUGGCGACGGCCGGAAACCACCCUCUCCUCCUCCACUCAUUCUUCCUUUUCGUCUCCAUUCUCGGAGCUACUGCUUCGCUAGAGCUCCAAAACUUUGUUCUCACCACCCUCCCGCAAAAUCAAUCUCGACCACUUUCCACCACCUCCUCCUCCGACGAACAACAGCCUCUAUUUCAGUCGCCACCGGACUCUCAGUUCGACACUCUCUCUCUCGAUCUGCACCAUGUGGACAACUUAUUUGCCGAAGCUCUUUCCUCUUCUUCUACCCCUACUCCUGAGUCGCUCUUCGAGAUCCGCCUCCUCCGCGACGCCGCCAGAGUGGAAGCUCUGUCCUCCCUCGCCGCCGCUCCUCGGUCCAACGCCUCCGGCAAAGCUCGCCCCCGCUCCGGCGAUUUCAGCAGCUCCGUCAUUUCAGGACUAGCUCAGGGGAGCGGCGAGUACUUCACGCGCCUAGGGAUUGGAAGCCCCCCCAAAUAUGUGUACAUGGUGCUUGACACCGGAAGCGACGUCGUUUGGGUCCAGUGCUCCCCCUGCCGGAAAUGCUACACUCAAUCCGACCCCGUCUUCAACCCUAAAGCCUCCAAGUCCUUCCUCGGAGUCUCCUGCGCCUCCCCUCUCUGCCGCCGCCUCGAUUCCCCCGGCUGCAACAACCGCCAGAAGUGCCUCUACCAGGUCUCCUAUGGGGACGGCUCCUUCACAUUCGGAGAAUUCUCCACCGAAACGCUGACGUUUCGCGGCACCAGAGUGAGCAACAUCGCCUUCGGCUGCGGCCACGACAACGAGGGACUGUUCGUCGGCGCCGCCGGACUGCUAGGUCUCGGCCGGGGGAAAUUGUCUUUUCCUACGCAGGCCGGCGGCCGUUUCGGGAGGAAAUUCUCCUACUGCCUGGUGGAUCGCUCUGCCUCGUCGAAGCCGUCGUCGAUGGUGUUCGGGGAAUCCGCGAUUUCGAGAAACGCGGUGUUCACUCCAUUGCUGACGAAUCCGAAGCUCGACACGUUUUACUACGUCGGCUUAAAUGGCGUGUCGGUAGGGGGGAGGCGAGUCCCCGGGAUCACGCCGGCGCUCUUCAAGCUGGACGCCAUGGGCAACGGAGGGGUGAUUGUGGAUUCGGGCACGUCGGUGACCCGACUGACCCGACCCGCGUACGUAGCGUUGAGGGACGCGUUCCGGGCGGGGGCAUCGCAGUUGAAGAGGGCGCCGGAUUUCUCGCUCUUCGACACGUGCUUCGAUCUGUCGGGGAAGACGGAGGUGAAGGUGCCGACGGUGGUGCUGCAUUUCAAGGGUGCGGACGUGUCGUUACCGGCGGCGAACUACUUGAUUCCGGUGGACAGCUCCGGGAAGUUCUGCUUUGCGUUUGCAGGGACGAUGAGUGGGCUGUCGAUCAUAGGGAACAUUCAGCAGCAAGGGUUCCGGGUGGCGUUCGACUUGGCCCGUAACAGGGUCGGCUUCGCCCCAAGGGGUUGUGCUUGAGCUUAAUGGUAAUCCAUUAUACUAUCAUCAAUCAGAUCAGAUCAGAUCAUCAAUGAAGAAGGAUGGAGCGAUCAAUCUGGUGUUUAAUUUGAGGAAGAGUAUUUGUUGUCGUAUUUGUAUGGUGGCACAGCCUGCGAUCACGAUGACGAAGAUGCUAUGUUGAUUGUUGAUAAUGGAAGGGGAAGGGGAAGAGAGAUACAUGAAUAACAAUUAAUGGAGCUUUUGUUGGAAAUUAUAAAUAAUAAUACU